GCAGAAGAGGAGCAUUGCCCAGGCAGAUAUUUUGUGGAACCUCAUUUCCAAUACAAAAUAUUCAGGGGGAGCAAUGCCGAGAUAAUACAAGCAUGUGGGCUCGUGUUAUCGGUUGAUUGGGUUGAAUCCCGUCGACUGUCAUCAUUUCUAUAUGGUGAAGAGCUUCUGA
rnacentral:ncRNA from 1 species